GUUACCACCCAUUGGAUCAGGCUGCCCAGGGCCCCAUCCAGCCUGGCCACACAACUUCUCUGGGCAACCUGUUCAAUGCCUCACCAUGAUAACCCACCAAGCAGUGCCGAAGAGCACACUGACUUUGUUAAUUUUUUUACCACUGCUGCUUCUGUGGUUUUCUCACUGCAGCAGAGCCCAGCUGAGAGUGGGACACCUGCAUAGAUCCUGUCCUGGCCUAGCAUACAGCAAAGAGCUGAGUGCUUGUGCACCAGCAUGCAGACCCAGCUCUGUGUCCUGAGGGGCUGCUGUGCGUGCAGAGAUUUUAGCAUCUGACUCCCUCUGCUGAAUGGGAUUAAAGUUACGUACGCGCACGACUCCUCGCAGAAGUGCUGCCAAAUAGAUACAGCAGACAAAGGGAAGGAGAAAGGAAGCGUAAUUAUUCCCAGGAGGAUUCUUGUGCUGCUGGUGUCAUCCCCCAGGCUGCACCUAUUAUAAGAGUCUGUUCAUCUCCAGGGAAGAAAGCUUAAAAAGUUCUCGGCAAUAAGCUUAGAAGAAAGGUGAUAAAAGUACAGCUUCAGCUUGCUCCAUGCAGUUCAUGAUUAUAAACCUCUGUUCGCAAGGACUCAGAUUCAUAGAAGGCAGCGAGUUCCUCGGUAUCACCCUUUUCAGUGUGUCCCUCGUAAAAACUGCAUGCAGUGGGUCAUCCAGUGCAGGGGGCACCCAAAGGCAGAGUGAAAGCGGUCCUGCGCUGCAUUCUGCUGCGGGUUGCUACGCUCACCUAUUUUGUGGUGCUGAGGGACCCUUUUCUCCAUCUAGAAGCUUCUGACAAUUUUUAUAAACAUGUCAGGUGUAACAGUCCAUUCUGGCAAAUUGCUCUCGGAUGCGCUCACUCAAGCACGGCUCAUAUCGGUGGGGUCCUGAGGAAAUACUAUUCAUGGGAACAGCAGAAGAAGUCCCUAGAAGUGCUGGAGACCCACAGCAGAGGACAGAGUGAAGAAACAUCUCUGAGCCCCCCACACAAGAGGCAGGGAGGAUUUGGCUGCUCUCCGCUCUGUUUGGCAGCCAGCAAGCACACAUGCAUGAGCGUUUGUUACUGCAUGGAAGUCCUUUGGAUCAGCCCUGGGUUGCUGGAGCUGUGCUGCAGACCGACGAGGAAGAGGAGCUGUGCAAUGACACACACCUUCCCCAUAUUUCUCCUCCCGUCUUGCUGUGAGGCAGAAAUGGGGGAGGCAGCCGUGACAGCACUUGCAGCAUUUUAAAUUUAAAUUCCUCAGGUCUGACUCUGCACCCCUUGUCCUUCAUUUGGCCACUAGUUGGAGCACGGGGUGGCAGGACUUGGCAGCCCAGCACUGGAUCAUGGGAUGGCCAAGGUCUGAAGGGUCCUCACAGCAAUGGAGGUGACAGGAGCUGUGCUGCAGAUGGCACGAAAUCCGUGCAUGGUUCCUGUUGCAGGCACAUCUGGUUGGGCACGUCGGCUUGUCAUCUUCUCCCUCAAAGGAGUCACUGGACUCCUUCAGCAGGCUCGUCAACAGUAAUAGCUUGAGCAAACAGCAAACCUGGGCGCCAGCUUCACCGUAUGUAACAUCAAAGGAAAUACGAAGAAAAAAAGGCAUUUGCUCUUACAUCUUGUCUGCAAAAUAAAAUGCAAAUGAAAUAGUGUGUUUUCCUUGAUUUCCAUUUGAUAUUACCCACUGUCAAAGUUAGGAAGUUAUGCAGCUUGCUACCAAGCACAGGUCAAUAAAUAAAUGAAUGGAGAAAAUAUUGACAAGCUUGAUUUCAAAGGUCACAGGAACGGGAUAAGUGCCACAAGGCCUUUAGCCUUUACCUUCCCCUUUCCGGUCCUCCCCAAAUGCCAAAAUGCCGCACUCUCCUCUUUUCCAAAGGCAUCUGAGGGACGCAACUCUCAGCAGCCAGAGGGGAAGACACAGCAAAAGGGACUGCAGCUUUCAGGUGGACAGAAAAUUCUGAGAAGCAAAGAGCAUCACACCCUUAUGGAUCAGAUGGGAGGUGGGGGCUGAAAUAACACCUGUAUCGUGGCUUGGCCAAACCGGACUCCAGAGUUCAAGGGUGAUGUUAUAAAGCAAGGUUUGGGUAAAAGCAUGAAAGCUGAUGAAUGGAUGAGUUCUUAUUCAAGAAGUUGUAAGGCAGCUACAGCCUUCAGGUAACUGCUGUGGUGCACAUUGAAAUUGCCAAAGCUUGUAAAGUCUGAUUUACUCUGUGGGGAGGGAAGGGGAAGUCAUUUGGUUUGAGUCAUAAGAGGUCUUGAUAUAAUCUAAGCUUCAUCAUCUCUGAAGAAACAGCUCUCUCCCUGGACUUGCAUCAAAAGGCUUUGAGCAGCCCUGAUAACGCAACAGCAGAGAACAAUUCCUAGCAGUGAAGAUUACAAGACCUUUAUAUCGGCUGCUCUUGCAUUACAACACCUGAUGGGCAUUCCAGGUUUAUAGUCAGUUC